GACGAACGCUGGCGGCGUGCUUAACACAUGCAAGUCGAGCGGUAAGGCCCUUUCGGGGGUACACGAGCGGCGAACGGGUGAGUAACACGUGGGUGACCUGCCCUUAGCUCUGGGAUAAGCCUGGGAAACUGGGUCUAAUACCGGAUAUGACUCCAUGACGCGAUGUUGUGGGGUGGAAAGCCUUGUGCGGCUAGGGAUGGGCCCGCGGCCUAUCAGCUUGUUGGUGGGGUGAUGGCCUACCAAGGCGACGACGGGUAGCCGGCCUGAGAGGGCGACCGGCCACACUGGGACUGAGACACGGGCCCAGACUCCUACGGGAGGGCAGCAGUGGGGAAUCUUGCGCAAUGGGCGAAAGCCUGACGCAGCGACGCCGCGUGAGGGAUGACGGCCU
rnacentral:rRNA from 1 species